rnacentral:lncRNA from 1 species
UACAGUUUUUCUAUGCUAAACUCUGUCCUAGUCAGUUCUAGAGUGUAUGAAGAACCAAAUGAUGUAAUUGUAUGCGACCUGGCUGUAGUGGAACAAAUUUGACUCUAAAGUAUGCAGGCUCUAAUUUUCCUGUCUGGUUUUGCCCCCACAUCACCCAACCAACCAGCAGAGAUCCUCCUUCCCAAGAAACAGAUAAAGAAACUGAGGCCCAGGAAGGCUAAGAGUCCUGCCAGGAUUAUUCACCUUUCAAGCAGCCAAGCAAGCACUGGCUGUGAGAGAUGGCUGUGAGAGAAGAUUAAAACAAUUACAACUCACCCAGUUCACAGAUGCUGAGUAACUGAUCUCCUGCCCCACUAACCUUAACGACAGCUUUCUCUGGACAAGGGACUGAUUUCAGUAACUUUCUCCUGAUAAGAGACCAUCCUCCAUGGACUGGUUCUGGCCAGUUUUAGAGGCUGUGCCUUUACGAGGCUGAGUACCUUCAUGUCCCUGCUUCACUUUUUGAUGUGUAGGGCCUAAUUAUAAUACAUUUAAAUGUCAAGUCUCCACCCCAGAAUGAACAUGCAUGUUUAUUGAAUAUGCAUGUGUUAGGACCUCUUUUAUGAGUAUUCUCAUAAAAUGAUAUAGCUCCUCUGAUAUCCUAUUGAGUAUGUAUAUGUAGCCAACUCAUUUGGCUCAAAUUCCUGUCCUCUCCCUCCCUCCCUGGAAAUGCCUGCCUCUGGCCUUGGCUGUAGGCCACACUUCCCAGCCUGUCAUAAUGGCCACCUUGCAGACUGCAAACCUUUAUAAGAAAUAAAGCUCUCUUUUCUAAAUUUAUAAAAUUGUGUGAUUUUUCA